GCAGAUGAAGGAAUUUGGAGUUGGAGAGUCAUGGAUGAAAUUGCUUAAAUUUGAUUCACAUGGAGUUGUUAAUAUGUUGCCAUUACAUGUUUUCGAGAAUGGAGAUACGCUGAUAUUUGCGAGCUGUCCUAACGAAAUAACUUGCUAUAAUAGCAGAGAAAAUAGACUAGUAAGGCAAACUACAGUUACAAAUAGCAUACAUAUAAAUUGGUUUAAUGUGACCCAUUACGUUGAAAGUUUGGUUUCAACCUAUUGAAAGUAAGUUCCUUUCCUGCAAUCAUUUACUUGUUUUAGUUUCUCUUAUCAUACCUUUGGUUUUAUUGUAGUUCUGAAUAUUUAUUCUAACUUGUAUUAUUUUCAUUUGCUUCAAAACAUUGUUACAGUUGUUAUGUUGAAUAAACCGGAUGAUUCUGCUACCUUGAUUAGAACUCAGUUAUAUGUGCAUUAACACGUUUUUGCUAAUUAAUAUUGUUCACAUGGGUAGUUUAUAAAGUAUGUCAUUUUGAGUAUUGAGUAUGUUCUGCCAGUUAAACUGUUUUGUUUUCAGCAACAAUAUUGAUUUUCAUGUUUUAGUAAACCAAUGUAUAACAAGGUUUCUGUGGGCAAUUAUUUUGUAUCAGGAAGGAAAAUGAAGAUCGGGGCAAAGAGGAGGACAUGUCGAGGGAACAUGAUUCAGCUACAAAUGAUUCACCAUUGUAGCUUAUAAAACUUCAAUUUGUCCAAAUGCUACCACUUUUAGAUGGCUACUUCAUGGAAUUUUCAAAAUGUAUUGG
rnacentral:lncRNA from 1 species